GACGAACGCUGGCGGCGUGCUUAACACAUGCAAGUCGAACGGAAAGGCCCUGCUUGCAGGGUACUCGAGUGGCGAACGGGUGAGUAACACGUGGGUGAUCUGCCCUGCACUUCGGGAUAAGCCUGGGCAACUGGGUCUAAUACCGGAUAGGAGCCAUUUUUAGUGUGAUGGUUGGAAAGUUUUUUCGGUGUAGGAUGAGCUCGCGGCCUAUCAGCUUGUUGGUGGGGUAAUGGCCUACCAAGGCGGCGACGGGUAGCCGGCCUGAGAGGGUGGACGGCCACAUUGGGACUGAGAUACGGCCCAGACUCCUACGGGAGGCAGCAGUGGGGAAUAUUGCACAAUGGGCGCAAGCCUGAUGCAGCGACGCCGCGUGGGAGAUGACGGCCUUCGGGUUGUAAACUCCUUUCGCUAGGGACGAAGCUUUUUGUGACGGUACCUAGAUAAGAAGCACCGGCUAACUACGUG
rnacentral:rRNA from 1 species